AGAAUAGCUUGUACAGAAGGCAUAACCUCAAGCGCCUUAGUGGAUGUCGCAGUGAGAGAAAGAUGGAAAAUUCGAUCUUCUUUUGAAAUAACGGAACACAAUAAACUUUGGCCUUCAACAAAAGGGAAAUCAUUUAUGUGUUUUUUGGAUAAAAAACCAGUAUAAUUAUUAAUACCAAUAUCAAAAACAAUACCAUGAUCUUCAAUACUUGAAACCACGGCCUGUAUCAUCGACCCAGCAACAAAAUCCGCAGCCUCAGGAGCAGAACCGUUCGCAUCUUGCGGCUUAAGACUUAGCUCGAUGUGUCUUUUUCCGGUUUUUGUAGUAUUUUCCGAGCCAAGGGCUGUAACAGAAACACGCACCCAUUGACCAACUUUGUACAAAUCCAUCAAAUCCGGUAUUUGAUUAAGACCGUCUUCCUCUUCAGUUGCUGCAUUAUCUUCUGCAUGAUUGUCAAUACUAUCCAGACGAUCAGAAAGCUUAUCGGAGAUAUUUGUGAUAGGUACAUAACCUGUCAAACAGUUUGGUAAUGAGACGGCCAAGUCCAACGUAUUUAUUUGAGCAAUUUGACCUAAAAUUAAAGAGCCGGGUGUGAUAUUUUUAUAUCUUAAGCUUUGAAUAUGAACCUUCAAAUUUUCUUCGUUGUCCAAUUCGGAUUUGGAAGAUUUUUUACUACCCUUUUUCUUAGGACGAGUUUUUUUACUCAAUUCAGCGGUACCAGAAGCGGACUCCAUAAAGUCCUUCUUAGCCUCUAAAACAGCUUCUUUAUACUCUAAAGGAGUCAAUGAAGACGCCCCACCUCGAGGGAAAUCUUGAGUUGCCUCGUUAGCACUCAAAGAAGAAAUUCUCUCAUUCCCUUGGGAAUCCGAGCCUUCGGAGGCAUUGCUCCUCUUUCUUUUAUUUCCAGCCAUUUACUUCUAUGAACUUCUGAAAAGAAAGAACGACUGGAAGAAAGAAGCUUUUUAUACAAAGUAGUUGGUAGCGAGUAAAUUUAUGCUGCUGCUACAAAAGAAAUAGUCUAGGAAGGGUAACGCAUCAUGAGAAUUUCUUUUAACGAUGAAUAUUGUACUACGCAAUAAUAUGAGAGUUGAGGAACUUAAAAAAGGUGCACAAACAAUAUAUGCGAUUGUACAUGGCAAAAAACAGAAAAACUUACAAAUUGAUCAUUUAAUUUAAUUUUUUUUCUUCUUAAUUUUUUUUAUCUUAGUUAUUCGCACUGCAUACACUAUUAAUUUCAUAAUGAAUAAUGCAAAUGCCAGAAUGCUUGUUGGUACAAGCAAAUGAAACGAUAAAUCUAAAUUUACGAAGCUUGGGGAUGUUUAUUUUUUUUCUUUGAUUAAUUUUUGUAGCAAUGAAACAAAAUUAGGAACAGCGCGGUUGUAAGUUUAUUACGCCGGACAUUUCCAUGAUACAUAGGAUGAAAAAAUUGGCUAUUACAAUAGAAAUACAAUAUUUAUCACAGGUACAAAAAGAAUUUUGCGUAAACCCUUGUUUUUAGCGCUUACCAGUUGAAAUGGCAUCGAUAGUGAAUGUCAAAAACCUUCUCCUCAAUCUAAAUGUUGACCGUCGAAAAGGUUAUUUCCGAAUUUCCUUUGAAAUAUUAAUUUUUACCUCCAUUAUUUCUUUUCGUUACUUAUAGCAUUCAAGGGUUCAAAAUUGUCUUGUAAGUUUUUAUACCCUCUUCUAUUUAUUAUUGUUCGCAGCAAUUUUUUUAAGCUCUCGUUAGUUAGAUUAGUGUUUCGUUUACAAUUUUAACCCUACCCUACCCGAAUGAAUGUUUUGUUUACACUUUGGCAGGUUACAAUAGCAGUGGACAUGAA
rnacentral:lncRNA from 1 species